rnacentral:rRNA from 1 species
GGACGAACGCUGGCGGCGUGCUUAACCCAUGCACGUCGAACGGAAAGGCCCUGCUUUUGUGGGGUGCUCGAGUGGCGAACGGGUGAGUAACACGUGAGUAACCUGCCCUUGACUUUGGGAUAACUUCAGGAAACUGGGGCUAAUACCGGAUAGGAGCUCCUGCUGCAUGGUGGGGGUUGGAAAGUUUCGGCGGUUGGGGAUGGACUCGCGGCUUAUCAGCUUGUUGGUGGGGUAGUGGCUUACCAAGGCUUUGACGGGUAGCCGGCCUGAGAGGGUGACCGGCCACAUUGGGACUGAGAUACGGCCCAGACUCCUACGGGAGGCAGCAGUGGGGAAUAUUGCACAAUGGGCGGAAGCCUGAUGCAGCAACGCCGCGUGCGGGAUGACGGCCUUCGGGUUGUAAACCGCUUUCGCCUGUGACGAAGCGUGAGUGACGGUAAUGGGUAAAGAAGCACCGGCUAACUACGUG